AUCCAUCCACAAAGUUCUCUCUCUACAGUGCCCCUCAGACCCAGUCUCCCACCCUCCUUGUCCGGGUGACGCCUGCUCCAUCAUCUCUAAUCCAGAGACAUCCUGCCAACAUCCCUGCUCCCAAUCCCUCUCUCAUCUGCUGUCCAUUCUACUCAUCACUGCUGGAACGUUGGUCCUCGAGCACCCAGGUCGGUAGCAGUUUCUCAGCCUCUGACUCCCGACCAUGAUCUUCCAGGCAAGGACCUCUCUUGCCAGCAAUCCCAGCCAACUCUCUGCUCCUCUCUCAAACUUCUUAUUGAAGUGGAAGGGGAAGACUGCCUUGGAUUUUAAUCCUGGUUCUGCCACGUGAUAACUGUGUGGCCUUUGACAAAUUACUUAACAUCUCUGAGACUUGAUUUUUUCAUCUGAGAGGGGUAACAUGUCUCUAUGACCGGUUCUUGGUGAGGAUCAAAUGAGAUAGUAUGUGUAAUAAAGCUGGCACAUUGCUCAUCAAUUGCUUCAUCAAUGUUUCUCCCCUUCCCUUCCUUCCACCCCUACUGCCCAGUGCUGGGCUUUGCAGAGUGGCCUUUCCAUAAGUGCCUUUGCCUGAUGGUUUCCUACAACUCAAUCAAAGUCACCUCAGAGGUCUGCAGCUAAUCGUCCAAGCUUGUGGAUUUGGGUGCUUUCUGGGAUUCUCGGUUGAUGACAAGUGCUGUGGCCAAUACCAAAGGAGCGUAAGAUGUCCCCACCAGAUGCACACUCUUCCUUCCCUUUAUCAUCCUCAAAGUUUUUCUCGAAUCCCUGCUUUGAAGACCACCAUGGCCUGAAGGGAAGGUGCCUUCCUUUGAAACUUCAAGGUGAAUCCAGAACAACUAGGAACCAGAGAGGAUGAGUCAAUGACCAACUGUGAGAAACCACUGCCAUAAAACAGAGCUUCUGAAGAACCAUCUUAAGGGGGCUGAGGCUCCUACCCUGGAGGUCUCUUUUCCAGACCCCACUCCCAAUUUGGGAUCUCCCAAAAAGUGUGUUUGCUUUUGUGUGCACAUGAUCUCUAAGAGAGUUUGCUAAACUACUUGAAGGAAUCACUUACUACUACCUCCAUUUAUUCACCACCCGCUUCCUCCUUAAUCCAUGACAACCUGACUUCCAUCAGACCAGUCACCCAAUCACCCAAUACUGGAUGCUCCAAAUAGAAACAGUUAUCUUCCUCACUUUGCAUAGUCAUGCUUCUCUUGAAAUAUACACAUGUUGUGAAAGGACUCUAGAAAUAAAUCUUUGCUCGAUAAAAUUCUCUA